CCCUUAGAUGUUCUGGGCCGCACGCGCGCUACACUGAUGCAUUCAACGAGUCUAAAACCUGCUCUGAUAGGGGUGGGUAAUCUUUUGAAUGUGCAUCGUGAUUGGGAUAGAUGAUUGCAAUUUUUCAUCUUCAACGAGGAAUGCCUCGUAAACGCAAGUCAUCAGCUUGCAUUGAUUACGUCCCUGCCCUUUGUACACACCGCCCGUCGCUCCUACCGAUUGAAUGAUCCGAUGAAUAUCAUGGAUUGAGGAUGCAAGUAGGUUCGCCUAUCUUCAUCUUCGAGAAGUGAAGUAAAUCUUAUCAUUUAGAGGAAGGAGAAGUCGUAACA
rnacentral:rRNA from 1 species